UACGUGGGGGCCGAGCGUUGUCCGGAGUUUACUGGGCGUAAAGGGCGCGCAGGCGGCGGCGUGGGUCCGGCGUGAAAGCCCCCGGCUCAACCGGGGAACGUCGUCGGGGACCGCGCCGCUUGAGGGCGGCAGGGGCCGGUGGAAUGCCUGGUGUAGUGGUGAAAUGCGUAGAGAUCAGGCGGAACACCCGUGGCGAAGGCGGCCGGCUGGGCCGUCCUGACGCUGAGGCGCGAAGGCGUGGGGGAGCGAACAGG
rnacentral:rRNA from 1 species